UACGUAGGGGGGCAAGCGUUGUCCGGAUUUAUUGGGCGUAAAGAGUGCGUAGGCGGGUCUUUAAGUCAGGGGUGAAAUCCUGGAGCUCAACUCCAGAACUGCCUUUGAUACUGAGGAUCUUGAGUUCGGGAGAGGUGAGUGGAACUGCGAGUGUAGAGGUGAAAUUCGUAGAUAUUCGCAAGAACACCAGUGGCGAAGGCGGCUCACUGGACCGGUACUGACGCUGAUGCGCGAAAGCGUGGGGAGCAAACGGG
rnacentral:rRNA from 1 species